UACAGAGGUCCCAAGCGUUGUUCGGAUUCACUGGGCGUAAAGCGUGCGCAGGCGGUUUUGUAAGACUGUCGUGAAAUCCCCGGGCUUAACCUGGGAACUGCAUUGGUGACUGGCAGGCUUUGAGUGUGGCAGAGGGAGGUAGAAUUCCACGUGUAGCAGUGAAAUGCGUAGAGAUGUGGAGGAAUACCGAUGGCGAAGGCAGCCUCCUGGGCCAACACUGACGCUCAUGCACGAAAGCGUGGGGGGCAAACAGG
rnacentral:rRNA from 1 species